UACGUAGGGCGCAAGCGUUGUCCGGAAUUAUUGGGCGUAAAGAGCUCGUAGGCGGUCUGUCACGUCUGCCGUGAAAACCCGAGGCUUAACCUCGUGGCUUGCGGUGGAUACGGGCAGACUAGAGGUAGGUAGGGGAGAAUGGAAUUCCCGGUGUAGCGGUGAAAUGCGCAGAUAUCGGGAGGAACACCGGUGGCGAAGGCGGUUCUCUGGGACGGUACUGACGCUGAGACGCGAAAGCGUGGGGAGCGAACAGG
rnacentral:rRNA from 1 species